rnacentral:rRNA from 1 species
CUACGGGCUGCACCAGUUAGGUAUAAUCUACAAUGCGCGAAAGCGUGAUAGUUUGAAUCAGAGUGCGUUUCUAUGAAAUGCUUUUGCCAAGUUUAAAACGCUUGGCGAAUAAGGACUGGGUAAGACGAGUGCCAGCCGCCGCGGUAAUACUCGCGGUCCAAGUCGCAGCCAUUUUUAUUGGGUCUAAAACAUCCGUAGCUUGUUUCUUAAGUUCCUUGUGAAAUCCUAUCUCUCAAGGGUAGGGCACGCAAGGAGUACUGGGAAGCUAGAGACUGGGAGACGUAACGAGUACGUUUGAGGUAGCGGUAAAAUGUGUUAAUCUCAAGCGGACUAACAAUAGCGAAGGCACGUUACGAGAACAGUUCUGACAGUAAGGGAUGAAGGCCAGGGGCGCAAAACGGAUUAGAUACCCUCGUAGUC